rnacentral:rRNA from 1 species
UAGACGGAGCAAGACCGCGUGGGGGAGGAAAGCCUUUGGGUUGUAAACCCCUUUUCUCAGGGAAGAAGAAAGUGACGGUACCUGAGGAAUCAGCCUCGGCUAACUCCGUGCCAGCAGCCGCGGUAAUACGGAGGAGGCAAGCGUUAUCCGGAAUGAUUGGGCGUAAAGCGUUCGUAGGUGGCAAUUCAAGUCUGCUGUCAAAGACAGUAGCUCAACUACUGCAAGGCAGUGGAAACUGAAUAGCUAGAGUGCGGUAGGGGCAGAGGGAAUUCCCGGUGUAGCGGUGAAAUGCGUAGAGAUCGGGAAGAACACCGGUGGCGAAAGCGCUCUGCUGGGCCGCAACUGACACUGAGGGACGAAAGCUAGGGGAGCGAAUGGGAUUAGAUACCCCAGUAGUC